rnacentral:misc_RNA from 1 species
GCAAACUUGGUCAUUUAGAGGAAGUAAAAGUCGUAACAAGGUAACCGUAGGUGAACCUGCGGUUGGAUCAUUACCGAAAAGCAACGCGAUGCCUCGCGCGGUCUUGGGGGGUCUCUCUCAUCGGCGACCCUUUGUUGGCCCUUGGGGCGAUUCGCACACCCAACUGUGAACCACUGACCGUCUAUUGGGGGGCGGCAGAGCUUUUUCGCUGAGCAAAAUGCCGCGGAAGUUCGAUGGUCACUCGGGCGGUUUGAUCGUUUGCGAGAGCGCGUCUUUUUAACAAAGACGCGCGCCAGGACUGUCUUUUUGGCUGCGCUUCGCGGCCGUUGGACGGUUUUCCGCUCCCCAGCGCACAUGCACCCACAGAUUGUUGGCAUGAUAUUAUUUUUCAAUUCUGAGCGUUUGUUGGCAUGAUUUUGAAACAACUUCAGACAACGGAUCUCUUGGCUCUCGCAUCGAUGAAGAACGCAGC